GGGCGAUUAGCUCAGUUGGGAGAGCGCCUGCCUUACAAGCAGGAUGUCGGCAGUUCAAGUCUGUCAUCGCCCACCA
rnacentral:tRNA from 2 species